rnacentral:lncRNA from 1 species
CAGGGUACAUAUCAUAAACAUUUGAAAAAAUAAAAGGACACAUCCUUGACAUAUGAAAAAAUAAAGAGUACACAUUCCUUACAUGUGGGAAAAAAAAGGUUUCAUAUCCCUGACAUAUGAAAUAACUAAAGGGUACAUAUCCCUGACAUAUGAAAAAAAUCAGUGUACAUAACUCUGAAACAUGAAAACGAAUGAAAUACAUCUGACAUAUGAGAAACUACAGGGUACAUAUCAUUAACAUUUGAAAAAAUAAAAGGAUACAUCCUUGACAUAUGAAAAAAUAAAAAGUACACAUUCCUUACAUAUGGGAAAAAAAAGGUUACAUAUCCCUGACAUAUAAAAUAACUAAAGGGUACAUAUCCCUGACAUAUGAACAAAUAAACAGUACAUAUCCCUGACAUAUGAAGCAAUAAGGGAUCCAUAUAUCUGACGUACGAAAAACUAAAGGGUAGAUAUCAUUAACAUAUGAUAUAUAUAACAUAUCCUUGACAUAUGAAAAAAUAAAGGGUACAAAUCCCUGAAAUAUGAAAAAAAGGUAUAUAUCCAUGACAUGUGAAAAAAAAAGCUACAUAUCCUUGACAUAUGAAACAAAUGGGUUCAUAUCCCUGACACAUGAUAAAAUAAUGGGUAUACAUCCGUUACAUUGGAAAAAAUAAAGGGUCAAUAUCCCUGACAUAUGUAAAGAAAUAAAGGGUUCAUACUUCUGACAUAUGAAAAAUAAAAGGGUUCAUAUCCCUGAUACAUCAAUAAAUAAAGGGUCUAUAUCCCUGACACAUAAACAAGUAAGGGGUCCACAUCCCUGAUAUAUGAACAAAUAAAGGUAACAUAUCCCUGAAGUUUGAAAAAAGGGUAUAUAUCCCUGACAUAUGAAAAAAGAAAGGGUACAUAUCCCUGACAUAUAAUAAAAUAAAGGGAACAUAUCCCUAAACUUUGAAAAAGGGUACAUAUCUCUGUCAUAUGAAAAAAUAAAGGGAACAUAUCCCUAAAGUUUGAAAAAAGGGUACAUAUCCCUGACAUAUGAAAAGAUAAAUGGUACAAAUCCCAGACAUAUGAAAUAAUAAAGGGUACAUAUCACUGACAUAUAAAAAUAAGGGAACAUAUCCAUGAAUUUUCAAAAAAAGAAGGGUCCGUACAUCUGACACAUUAUACAAAAUAAAGGGCACAUAUCCCUGACAUUUGAACAAAUAAACAGUACAUAUCCCUGACAUAUGAAGCAAUAAGGGAUCCAUAUAUCUGACGUACGAAAAACUAAAGGGUAGAUAUCAUUAACAUAUGAUAUACAGUAUAUAACAUAUCCUUGACAUAUGAAAAAAUAAAGGGUACAAAUCCCUGAAAUAUGAAAAAAUUAAGUGUACAUAUUACUGACAUAUAAAGCAAUAAGGGGUCCAUACAUCUGACAUAUGAAAAACUAAAGGGGACAUAUCGUUAACAUAUAAAAAAUAAUGGGUACACAUCCCUUACAUAUGAAAAAAAAGGUACAUAUCACUGACAUAUGGAAAAAAAAAGGGUACAUAUCCCUGACAUAUGAAGAAAAGGAACAUAUCCUUGACAUAUGAAAACAAGAGGAACAUAUCCUUGACAUAUGAAAAAAAUAGGUACAUAUCCCUGACAUAUGAAAAAAAUCAGUGUACAUAACUCUGAAACAUGAAAAUGAAUGAAAUACAUCUGACAUAUGAAAAACUACAGGGUACAUAUCAUAAACAUUUGAAAAAAUAAAAGGACACAUCCUUAACAUAUGAAAAAAUAAAGAGUACACAUUCCUUACAUGUGGGAAAAAAAAGGUUUCAUAUCCCUGACAUAUGAAAUAACUAAAGGGUACAUAUCCCUGACAUAUGAAAAAAAGGUACAUAUCCAUGACAUGUGAAAAAAAAAGAGCUACAUAUCCUUGACAUAUGAAACAAAUGGGUUCAUAUCCCUGACACAUGAUAAAAUAAUGGGUACACAUCUGUUACAUUGGAAAAAAUAAGGGGACAUAUCCCUGACAUAUGGAAAAAUUAAGGUUAAUUACCGCUGACAUCUGAUGAAAUACAGGGUCAAUAUCCCUGACAUAUGUAAAGAAAUAAAGGGUUCAUACUUCUGAUAUAUGAAAAAUAAAAGGGUUCAUAUCCCUGAUACAUCAAUAAAAAAAGGGUCCAUAUCCCUGACACAUAAACAAGUAAGGGGUCCACAUCCCUGAUACAUGAACAAAUAAAGGUAACAUAUCCCUAAAGUUUGAAAAAAGGGUAUAUAUCCCUGACAUAUGAAAAAAUAAAGGGUACAUAUCCCUGACAUAUAAUAAAAUAAAGGGAAUAUAUCCCUAAACUUUGAAAAAGGGUACAUAUCCCUGUCAUAUGAAAAAAUAAAGGGAACAUAUCCCUGACAUAUAAUAAAAUAAAGGGAACAUAUCCCUAAAGUUUGAAAAAAGGGUACAUAUACCUGACAUAUGAAAAGAUAAAUGGUACAAAUCCCAGACAUAUGAAAUAAUAAAGGGUACAUAUCACUGACAUAUAAAAAAGAGGGAACAUAUCCAUGAAUUUUCAAAAAAAGAAGGGUCCGUACAUCUGACACAUUAUACAAAAUAAAGGGCACAUAUCCCUGACAUAUGAAAAAAAUCAGUGUACAUAACUCUGAAACAUGAAAAUGAAUGAAAUACAUCUGACAUAUGAAAAACUACAGGGUACAUAUCAUAAACAUUUCGAAAAAUAAAAGGGACACAUCCUUGACAUAUGAAAAAAUAAAGAGUACACAUUCCUUACAUGUGGGAAAAAAAGGUUUCAUAUCCUUGACAUAUGAAAUAACUAAAGGGUACAUAUCCCUGACAUAUGAAAAAAAGGCACAUAUCCAUGACAUGUGAAAAAAAAAAGCUACAUAUCCUUGACAUAUGAAACAAAU